rnacentral:rRNA from 1 species
GACGAACGCUGGCGGCGUGCUUAACACAUGCAAGUCGAGCGAAGAGCGAUGGAAGCUUGCUUCUAUCAAUCUUAGUGGCGAACGGGUGAGUAACGCGUAAUCAACCUGCCCUUCAGAGGGGGACAACAGUUGGAAACGACUGCUAAUACCGCAUACGAUCUAAUCUCGGCAUCGAGGAUAGAUGAAAGGUGGCCUCUACAUGUAAUCUAUCACUGAAGGAGGGGAUUGCGUCUGAUUAGCUAGUUGGAGGGGUAACGGCCCACCAAGGCGAUGAUCAGUAGCCGGUCUGAGAGGAUGAACGGCCACAUUGGGACUGAGACACGGCCCAGACUCCUACGGGAGGCAGCAGUGGGGAAUCUUCCGCAAUGGACGAAAGUCUGACGGAGCAACGCCGCGUGAGUGAUGACGGCCUUCGGGUUGUAAAGCUCUGUUAAUCGGGACGAAAGGCCUUCUUGCGAAUAGUGAGAAGGAUUGACGGUACCGGAAUAGAAAGCCACGGCUAACUACGUG